rnacentral:rRNA from 1 species
CCUACGGGAGGCAGCAGUGGGGAAUAUUGCACAAUGGGGGAAACCCUGAUGCAGCGACGCCGCGUGAGUGAAGAAGUAAUUCGUUACGUAAAGCUCUAUCAGCAGGGAAGAAACACUGACCUUACGGUCAGCAGACGGUACCUGAGUAAGAAGCCCCGGCUAACUACGUGCCAGCAGCCGCGGUAAUACGUAGGGGGCAAGCGUUAUCCGGGUUUACUGGGUGUAAAGGGAGCGUAGACGGGACGCCAAGUCUGGAGUGAAAUGCCGCGGCUUAACUGCGGAACUGCUUUGGAAACUGGCGAACUAGAGUGCGGGAGGGGUAAGCGGAAUUCCUAGUGUAGCGGUGAAAUGCGUAGAUAUUAGGAGGAACACCAGUGGCGAAGGCGGCUUACUGGACCGUAACUGACGUUGAGGCUCGAAAGCGUGGGGAGCAAACAGGAUUAGAUACCCCUGUAGUC